rnacentral:misc_RNA from 1 species
AAGUCGUAACAAGGUUUCCGUAGGUGAACCUGCGGAAGGAUCAUUAUAGUGAUAUGUGUGGGGUGGGGGUGAAGAGUGUGAUGUUUGGAGUUUUUGGGAGACUGAGAAUUCUGGAUGUGACAGGCUGACCUCCUCCUGCAGUGGUUCCCGGUGUAACAGCAGGGAGCCGUGGCAGACGCCCGCAAGGGUGGCUGUGAAACGAGUGAGAUUUGAGACUGAAGAAAAGGCAAAAAAUACAACUUUUAACAAUGGAUCUCUUGGCUCCU